rnacentral:snRNA from 1 species
GUGCUCACUUCGGCAGCACAUAUACUAAAAUUAGAACAAUACAGAGAUUAGCACGGCCUCUGCACAAGAAUGACACGCACAUUUGUGAAGCAUUCCACAUUUAA